GCAAGGAAUGCCAGCAUCUCUGUGCUGGCUGCUCUUCAUUUAUAGUGAGUGGCCCUAACACUUGGGAUUCUGACCAGGUUUGGGAGCAAGUUGACUCAGAUGGCUGAUUUGUGGGGUAGCUGUCAUAUUUUUGUCUGAGGCUCGAAAAACGGAAUUUGAAGACUGAGAUAUUUAAAGAGAGUAACAAACACUCUGGGGAGAAUUCCCACCUGGCCAUGGCAGGAGCUUCUGCUCGGGAAAUGGGCUGCCAGGACUGGAUGGCUGCAUUUGAGCCCUGAAAGCUGCUGAUUUUGCAAUCUUCUCUCUCUGAUGAAAGUGUUUUGUUUAUAUUACCA